rnacentral:misc_RNA from 1 species
AUAAUGGUGGUGGUGGUGGUGGUGUUAUUAUUAUUAUUAUUGCAUUGAGUUUUACUUUAGAAUGUUUGAUGCAUAUUGACAUCUAAAGCAAUGAAUAUUAGGUACAUAAAUGAUAUAUAAAAAAUAAAUAGAAGACAGUCAAGAGGUCAUAAAAAAUGAAGCAUUGAAGACCUCUCACGAGUUCUUACUAAAUUCAAUAGGAAAAUAGGUCAUUGGGGCUGGCGGGAAAUAUCGAGUUUGAGUUUUAAUUGGAGUGAUUGUUA